CGGAGGCGGGGCUGCGCGCGCACCCAGGGCCUGGUCGGUGUCAUGGCCGCGUCCCGGCUGCCUCCGGCAGCGCUGACGCUGAAGCAGUUCUUGAGAAGGCAGCAGGUUCUUCAGUUAUACAGAAGAAUUCUGCAGGCUAUUCGUCAGGUACCUACUGAAACUGAUCGGCACUAUCUAAAGGAGUGGGCAAGGGAAGAAUUCAAAAGAAAUAAAGAUGCAACAGAUGAGGAUGCAAUUAGGAUGAUGAUUACUCAGGGCAACAUGCAGCUUCGGGAGCUUGAAAGAACACUUCAGCUGGCAAACUCCUAAUCUUAAUUCUGAGAGCCAAUGGACUUUCAUCCACUGUGGGAAGUACAGUACUUUCUCCAGGAUGUAGCACCUCAUCUUAUGCUAAGAUACCGAUCUCCAAUAAAGAGAGGAAAGCAGUUUGAAAAUUCAAAACUAUAUGAAGUUCUUUGGUUUGAUAGCCCCCACACAGUGCAUAGCCUGGAGGAGUGUCUCUGAAGAAUUUCCUUGGACUCUUACGGAACUCUCUAUGAUUUCCACUUUUCAAACACAGGGGAGGACUCCACCUGCAGACUUCUAUUACAGUAUUCGGGUGGGGCCAUCCUAUGUCUUCAAAAUGAGCAACCAAGAAUAGCUUGCAGUCAGGUGCAUGUAA